rnacentral:lncRNA from 1 species
CUAUCAAUUAGUUUCAAAGUAAUGAGGUGAGUUUUAACUAGUCAAAUUCAAAAAGUUCGUACGCUGAGCUAAGGAGAUUAACACUUGUCCCCAAAUCAAAAAGUAUUUUUUCAAUGUUAAGGUCCCCUAUAACAUAGGAAAUGAUAGGGGCACCUGGAUCCUUAAGUUUAGCAGGGGUAGUAUGCUGGAAAACUAAACUAGCU